GAUCUGGUUAGGUGGUUUAGCCGCAAGGUUAACACUGCUUUGACUGGUUCUUUCCUUGUAGGGAAUUAACGUAUUCUUAACUGAGUGCGUUAAGGAUCUACAACUGUUACUUUGAAAAAAUUAGAGUGUUUAAAACAGGCUUAUGCUUGAAUACUACAGCAUGGAAUAACGGAAUAGGACUUUGUUUCUAUUUUGUUGGUUUGAGAAACGAAGUA
rnacentral:rRNA from 1 species